rnacentral:rRNA from 1 species
GAGUUUGAUCCUGGCUCAGGAUGAACGCUGGCGGCGUGCCUAAUACAUGCAAGUCGAACGGAGGUUGUAGCAAUACGACCUUAGUGGCGAACGGGUGAGUAACGCGUUGGUGACCUGCCCCGAAGUGUGGGAUAGCAGCUCGAAAGGGCUGCUAAUACCGCAUGUAAUCCCCCGGCUUAGAGGCCGGGUGAUUAAAGGCGAAAGUCGCUUCGGGAGGGGCCUGCGUCCCAUCAGCUAGUUGGUAGGGUAAUGGCCUACCAAGGCGAUGACGGGUAGGGGACCUGAGAGGGUGGCCCCCCACAAUGGAACUGAAACACGGUCCAUACACCUACGGGUGGCAGCAGUAGGGAAUAUUGGUUAAUGGGCGAAAGCCUGAACCAGCAACGCCGCGUGCGCGAUGAAGGCCUUCGGGUUGUAAAGCGCUUUUUGAGGGGAAGAGGAAGGACGGUACCCUCACAAUAAGUCUCGGCUAACUACGUGCCAGUAGCCGCGGUAACACGUAGGAGACGAGCGUUAUCCGGAUUUACUGGGCGUAAAGCGCGUGCAGGCGGUCCAGCAAGUUGGAUGUGAAAGCUCCCGGCUUAACUGGGAGAGGUCGUUCAAUACUACUGGACUUGAGAGUGGUAGAGGGAGGUGGAAUUCCGGGUGUAGUGGUGAAAUGCGUAGAUAUCCGGAGGAACACCAGUGGCGAAAGCGGCCUCCUGGACCACUUCUGACGCUCAGACGCGAAAGCUAGGUUAGCGAACGGGAUUAGAGACCCCGGUAGUCCUAGCCGUAAACGAUGUAGACUUGGCGUUGGUGGGUUCAAAUCCAUCAGUGCCGAAGCUAACGCGAUAAGUCUACCGCCUGGGGACUACGGCCGCAAGGUUAAAACUCAAAGGAAUUGACGGGGCCCCGCACAAGCAGCGGAGCGUGUGGUUUAAUUCGAUGAUACACGAAGAACCUUACCAGGGUUUGACAUGCAAGUGGUAGGGAUCCGAAAGGUGACCGACCCUUCGGGAGCUG